rnacentral:lncRNA from 1 species
UCUAGAGUUAGGGUUAUUGUCACAGGCACGAGAGGUGCAGAUCCCCGACCAUGUUUUGCAGGUUGCAGAGUGUUGUUGGUCAUGUCCGGUGCAGCUGGAUUCGUGGGUCAUGCCCGCAGACCUGUUGGUGUUAGGGCAGCUGCAGGACAUCGACGUAGUGCUCGGUAUGGACUGGCUGGCGCGGUACUAUGCUACUAUCGAUUGUGGAGCGAGGACGGUGACGUUCCGCGAGCCAGGCCAGGAGGAGUUCA